rnacentral:lncRNA from 1 species
CUUUACAUGGCACCGUAGCCCCCUUUUUAUCUCCUCCCUUGGGAAAAGCCACAUCUAAUAUUUCUGUUGCUGUACCCACUGAGUUCUCAAUAUCUUCUCCCUAAACACAAAAAACAUUUUCCACUUCCCUGGUCCAAAGAAGGGAAGAGACAAAUUGCUACAGAGUUGGAAUCAACCCGCUGAUCUGAAAUCCUCAGAAGACUCAUUUGGGCUGGAGAAGGAGCAAUCCGCAGGAAAUUUCAGCCCUAAUUUUCGCGAAACCCGCAGACACUCUCAGCCUUGCUCAGGCCCAGUAGGAGGCCCUUUGUCUCCGCCCUCAUCCAAUCAGCGUCCAGCGUCUCUUCCCUCCAGCCAAUCAGCAUCGCUGGGAGCAACCUAUAUCCUAAUUUGCCCUCGUCCCUUGACAUUCAGUGGGCGGUGCCGCGCGCUGCGGCCAAUCACACCCGACCGUGACCGGCCAGUGCCCUCUGUGAUGGCAUGUGGGCGGGCUGCGACGGUCUGUAAGAGAUGCAGGACUGUGCUCUGCUGUGGCUAGCCGCGCCACUCCCGUCGCGUUUGUGUUCUUCGGCUGCAGAUUCAGAGGAAGCCGGCAACCAAGAGAUUCGCCAGCCGGAAUGUUGCAGCAGCAGGGGUGCUCUCCGCGGUUGCGGCCGUGGGCACGGCGGAGUACGCGACUCUGGCUGCAGGGCAACAUUAUGCUCCAGGUUCUGAAGGAACAGCUGCCCAGCGACGCCGUCGUCAUGCUGCACGUGGUGGAGCGGGACCUCUUUGACCACAUCGUGCGCGAGGCGACCCAGCUUAGGCGGGAGAGCGCUGAUGAGCGCGAAAUGGAAAAGCCAAUUCUCAAAUGCAUCUGGAAUUGCAAAGGCCCUCAAAUAGCCAAAAUAAUCUUGAAGAAAAAGAACAAAGUUGGGGGAAUCACAUGUCCUGAUUUCAAAACUUACUACAAAG